AGAACCAAAGAGGAGGAAGGAUCCUGCAAUGAGAAGUCCAGCAGAACUUCCACCGCAUGUUGAUCCACGGACUAGUGAUCACACAUAUAGUUCUCAAGUAAACUUUGCCUCCCCAUCAACCAGUCAGCUCCAGCACUCCAAAUCAACAAGAAUACAAUGACAGCAGUGUUACCUUUGAUUGUCUAAAGUUCAUAGGUGGCGUGGGAGCUCAUGGGUGCACAGGUGGCAGGUGUGGCUGAUCCUGCUGAUUGCUACUGGGACCAUUUAAGCAGGAGGCUACCAGUACUUUAAUGCCUGAGUGUUAAACAACAGUGGUUGCUUUUAAGCCCUGGCUCAGUUUCCAGUUAAUUUCCUGACUUCUGGAUCUAGGAUACAAGCCUCCAAUUACCUUCUCUAGACACACUCCAAACUGGCAGCUUCCUGGCUCUGCGAUCAACCAGCCACAAUCAUAAGCGAAUCUUCAUCAUGUUGUGAUUAUGAAUAUGAAUAUAUUAUUUAAUAUUUAAUAUUAAUAUUUUAAUAUUUUAUUAAAUAAUAUGUCAGUCUGUUAA